AGUCUGGUGCCAGCAGCCGCGGUAAUUCCAGCUCCAAUAGUGUAUACUAAAGUUGCUGCAGUUAAAAAGCUCGUAGUUGGAUUUCGGUUAAUGAAAAGUUAGUCCACUUAAUAUAUAAGUGCGUACUGACGUUUUAUUUCCUUCUUUUCAGAUAUACAACUUGUUGUGUUCUGAAUCUUUUACUUUGAGAAAAUUAGAGUGUUCAAAGCAGGCGUAACCAAGCCUUUGAAUAUAUUAGCAUGGGAUAAUGGAAUAAGACUUUUUGCCUUAUUUUCGUUGGUUCUUGAGGCUAAAGUAAUGAUUAAUAGGGAUAGUUGGGGUCAUUAGUAUUUAAUUGUCAGAGGUGAAAUUCUAAGAUUUAUUAAAGACUAACUACUGCGAAAGCAUUUGACAAGGAUGUUUUCAUUAAUCAAGAACGAAAGUUGGGGGAUCGAAGAUGAUCAGAUACCGUCGUAGUCUCAACCAUAAACUAUGCCGACCAAGGAUUCGGGGGUGUUAUAUGAAUGACCCUCCGGGCACUUAUAGAGAAAUCAUAAGUAUUUGGGUUCCGGGGGGAGUAUGGUCGCAAGGCUGUAACUUAAAGGAAUUGACGGAAGGGCACCACCAGGAGUGGAAUAUGCGGUUUAAUUUGACUCAACACGGGAAAACUUACCAGGUCCAGACACAGUGAGGAUUGACAGAUUGAGAGCUCUUUCUUGAUUUUGUGGGUGGUGGUGCAUGGCCGUUUCUAGUUGGUGGAGUGAUUUGUCUGGUUAAUUCCGUUAACGAACGAGACCUUAACCUAUUAAAUAGUUACACAUACUUGGGAUUCGUCCUAAUAGUAUGUGGUUAACUUCUUAGAGGGACUCUUCACGUAAAGAGUGAAUGGAAGUUUGAGGCAAAAACAGGUCUGUGAUGCCCUUAGAUGUUCUGGGCUACACGCGUGUUACACUGAUAUAUUCAACAAGCAUUAUAAUUCCUUACCCGAUGGGGUUGGGUAAUCUUUUAAAUGUAUAUCGUGAUGGGGAUAGACCAUUGUAAUUAUUGGUCUUGAACGAGGAAUUCCUAGUAAGUGCAAGUCAUUAGCUUGCGCUGAUUACGUCCCUGCCCUUUGUACACACCGCCCGUCGCUCCUACCGAUGAAUGGUCCGGUGAGGACUCAGGAUGACCGUGGAUUUUGGUAUAAUAUACCAUGCCAUUGUUUGUCAGAAUCUGUUCAAACCUUAUCAUUUAAAGGAAGGAGAAGUCGUAACAAGGUUUCCGUAGGUGAACCUGCGGAAG
rnacentral:rRNA from 1 species